rnacentral:rRNA from 1 species
UACGAAGGGGGCUAGCGUUGCUCGGAAUCACUGGGCGUAAAGGGUGCGUAGGCGGGUCUUUUAAGUCAGGGGUGAAAUCCUGGAGCUCAACUCCAGAACUGCCUUUGAUACUGAGGAUCUUGAGUUCGGGAGAGGUGAGUGGAACUGCGAGUGUAGAGGUGAAAUUCGUAGAUAUUCGCAAGAACACCAGUGGCGAAGGCGACUCACUGGCUCGGUACUGACGCUGAGGUGCGAAAGCGUGGGGAGCAAACAGG